rnacentral:tRNA from 1 species
GUUAAAUUAGUUAAGCUUAAUAACAUCUAAUUUGUAAUUAGAAAUCGAUAUUUAUCAUUUAACU